UACGUAGGGGGCAAGCGUUGUCCGGAAUUAUUGGGCGUAAAGAGCGCGUAGGCGGCCCAGUAAGUCCGCUCUGAAAGUCAGGGGCUCAACCCCUGGAUGCGGGUGGAUACUGCUGGGCUAGAGUCCGGAAGAGGCGAGUGGAAUUCCUGGUGUAGCGGUGAAAUGCGCAGAUAUCAGGAGGAACACCUACGGCGAAGGCAGCUCGCUGGGACGGUACUGACGCUGAGACGCGAAAGCGUGGGGAGCGAUCCGG
rnacentral:rRNA from 1 species